rnacentral:rRNA from 1 species
UGCUAUUUCUAGAGAUAGAAAGUUACUUCGGUACAUCGGUGACAGGUGGUGCAUGGUUGUCGUCAGCUCGUGUCGUGAGAUGUUGGGUUAAGUCCCGCAACGAGCGCAACCCCUAUUGUUAGUUGCCAUCAUUCAGUUGGGCACUCUAGCGAGACUGCCGGUAAUAAACCGGAGGAAGGUGGGGAUGACGUCAAAUCAUCAUGCCCCUUAUGACCUGGGCUACACACGUGCUACAAUGGUUGGUACAACGAGUUGCGAGUCGGUGACGGCGAGCUAAUCUCUUAAAGCCAAUCUCAGUUCGGAUUGUAGGCUGCAACUCGCCUACAUGAAGUCGGAAUCGCUAGUAAUCGCGGAUCAGCACGCCGCGGUGAAUACGUUCCCGGGCCUU